GGCCGGGCCCUCGCGCAAAGGAGUGUCGUGAACCCCGUCAGAUCCGGAAGGAAGCAGCGGUAGCGGUGUUUUCCUUGUGCAGCGAGGAUCACCUGGCCACA
rnacentral:SRP_RNA from 1 species